GCGCCUGUGGUGGACUUGGGAGACACGCUGGAUUUAGGUUCCAGUGACGCAAGUCGUGGGGGUUCAAGUCCCUCCAGGCGCA
rnacentral:tRNA from 1 species